rnacentral:misc_RNA from 1 species
AAACAGAUGCAGCACACUCAUGCGCCAUGACGCACAUUUUCCAGCGCGCCAUCUCCAUCCCUUCUGGUGUAGUCGGCUCCUUGCCGCCUUGCCGCACACGUAUACCCAUGCAGUCGAUGCCGCGGGCAUCGCUGGAUGCGGUGCCGUUCAUUCAUCCGCUCUAACCCACCAAACACACAGAGAGGGGGAUCCUUCACGCACUGCAUAGAGAGAUGCCGCUGCGAACAUGAAGCUCGUCGUGAACCGUGGAUUGGCGAGCUCUGCCAGCGCGUUCACCACCACCGGCGACGCAAACGUCAGCCUAAACCUGACGCAGCUGGGCUUCAAGCGGUGCGGGAGGCCCACACGGAUCGUAGAGGCAACGCGCGCACACGCCCUACGGGCAUGAACUAUCACGGUGGCUCGGCGGAGCUGAGAGGAUAUGUGAACGAUGAAGGCAGGAACUAGCUGCCUUGCAGACGGCUGGCAUUCCGGCGGACGAGACGGCGAUCUUGGUGGAUGAGAGCGGCUUUCCACACAUCACGGGGAUGCCGGGCAGAGCGAACAUUAUCAAGUGCAUGGCGUGGCCAGCGAAGAGGGUUGAAGGCAGGCAAUGUGCUCCCCAUGCGCCACAGCAGCCACGGCACGCGGACCGAACCAAGGGAUCAGUGCGGCAACGUCGUCUGCCCCCCCCCACCAACUACGACGGUUCGCUGGGCGCAUCCUCGGCAAGGGCAUUCCCGUCGGCAUGGCAACGUACCAGCUGCCUGUCGUACGCCUGACCGUCCUCCUCGACCGCUGCCACUCGGUCAGCAUGCCAGACCUCCCCUACUGCUUCGUCGGCUUCAGCGGCGGCAAGACGUGCUCAUGAUCUCGGGCUGCCAGGACACGCAGACAUCCUCCGACUUCGGCGACGCUGUGCCUGGCGUGCGUUGUCAUAAACGCGCAGGACCUCUCCGACACGGACACGGUACUCAAGACGCGCGAGAUUCCCGUGCAGCAGUUCGACUAGGUGUCACAGCUAAGCGCGUCGAAGCACAUCGAAUUCAGCACCCGCUCCCCACGAGUUUGACCCUUCACCGCGCACACCUCCGUCAAGCGCUCACUGCCGGUGAUGUACCCGUAGAGCAGGGCGCUGGACGCGGUAGAAGCUCAACGACUUCUUCCCACCCUCACCAUAAGCCGGUGCGCAGGCGUGCCUCGGAGACCGCUCCAUCGGUAUGGCGCCUCCCACGUUACCCUGAUGACAGGGAGUGGAGAGGAGGGGUGGGGGAGGGGCACACCCCAGUGCCUGGCAUCCAGCGCACACACACAUACACACAAACUCUGUGCGUGGGAAAGCCAAGCGGUCUCUCCCCUCCCCUCUUCACCCCUGCCAAUGCAGAGCCACUUCCGGUGGUGACAGGGCUAGGCCCCCUACGGCGUAGGAGGAGGGGGGGGGGGGAAGGGCAGCGCGAUGUAUCGCCACUGGUCUCGGCGGCCAGGCCGUGGAUGGCGGGGCGGAAGCAUGGGUAAAGUGUGAGGCGGAGGGGCCGUGCUCUCAGAUGACGGAGUCGGGGCAUUGUGCCGUGACACCUGCGCGUCUGCGGCUGCUUCGCACCACGCGGAUGGGCUGCCUGUGACACAGGGCCGCGCAGGGGCUGUCGCGUGGCGCAUGGCCGCAUGCGGUGCGGGGCAGGGCCAUGGGGCUCACGCUGAUGUCAGCAACAACGUCGCAUAUCCUAUAUUUCUGAUGGUGCGCCUCCAUCGCCUUCGUUGUGCACGUUGAAGUGGUUCUUCUCUCCGGGCGCUACCCCCCCAUACCACCUUGUUCUUCUGGGCCCUCUUC